UACGGAGGGUGCAAGCGUUAAUCGGAAUUACUGGGCGUAAAGCGCGCGCAGGUGGUUUGAUAAGCGAGAUGUGAAAGCCCCGGGCUCAACCUGGGAACGGCAUUUCGAACUGUCAGGCUAGAGUGUGGUAGAGGGUAGUGGAAUUUCCUGUGUAGCGGUGAAAUGCGUAGAUAUAGGAAGGAACACCAGUGGCGAAGGCGGCUACCUGGACCAACACUGACACUGAGGUGCGAAAGCGUGGGGAGCAAACAGG
rnacentral:rRNA from 1 species